rnacentral:rRNA from 1 species
UACCCGCACCCCGAGUGGUCGGGACGAUUAUUGGGCCUAAAGCAUCCGUAGCCGGUCCUGCAAGUCUUCCGUUAAAUCCAGCUGCUCAACAGAUGGGCUGCGGGGGAUACUACAGGGCUAGGAGGCGGGAGAGGCAAGCGGUACUUUAUGGGUAGGGGUAAAAUCCGUUGAUCCAUAGAAGACCACCAGUGGCGAAGGCGGCUUGCCAGAACGCGCUCGACGGUGAGGGAUGAAAGCUGGGGGAGCAAACCGG